CCUUCUUUUUCCCCUUUAUUCCUUUCCCUUGACCUUUGCUGAGAUGCACAGUCACACUUCAGGACCUUCCAGGGCCGCUUCUCUAAUCUCCCCAGCAGGAUUAAUGCUGCUGGAAACCAUGAGGGCUUGGACCAGCUAUCAACUUUAUCAGGAAAGCUUCUUUCCGGCCAAGCUUUGCUAAGCGGGAAUCUUGGGUUGGAGCUGCUCGUCUCGUGUUUCACAGAUGGCCUCAAGGAAUGAUUUACUAGGAGAGUAAAAGAUUAACCAGAUUCCUCCAGCAGCAUCUUGGGUCGCAUAAAGCACUGGGUUUCACUGGGGCCUAGGCAAGCCCUCACUCCUUACCCUCGUUAGCCUGUUUUACAGUGACUAAUUGCCCUGCGCUCCCUUCCCUGGGAAUGGGGAAUCUCCUGGUGAGGAACCCACGCUCCUCGCACGAGCAGCUUUGGAACAGCCACAGCAGCGAAGGCUUCUCCAUGCGGGCAGCUUUGCAGAAUCCCCCUGUGGAGAAGAGCCAUCGCUGGAGAGGUCACACAAACGGUGCUUUGGCUGUACAAUCUUCUUGCCAGAUGCAUUGAAUGGGUGCCUGGGAUCCUGACUCUGAAAAGGCAUCAGGCCGUGAUUCCAGCCUUUUGCUGAGCAUCCCAGCGCUUUUGGAAGCCUGUGUUGGCAAGGGUGGGACAGCUGUGCAGUGCACUGCUAUAAAACACUCCUCUUGCACUGUUGUCUUGCUUCUCAUGCUGUCCUUCCUGGCAACUGUUAUUGCCAACAACAGCGGCUCUGCUCCUACAGAAAGGGCUGCUCCCUGUGUGCCUGCCCUCGUCCAUGCACAGGGAUCAAAGAGGCCCCUUUCCAAAACCCAAACAGGAAUGGGGAAAAGGAAUGAGCUAAAGGAGGAAUUAAAUGGAUAACGAGUUUAAGAGAUUACUUAAAAUGCUCAUUUCCCACUGAUCUUCCUUGCACUUUGUCAGGAUCCCAUCUGAGUGUGUCCCAGAGCGUGGCAGCCCCGGCUCACACCCAGCAUGGGGAGGAUUGCUCAGUGGUAAGGGUAAGAAAGGAAACAGCUGUGAUCCCUUCCUGGAGCCUUUGCUCUUUUUCAUCCCCUUAGAUGUAUCCCAAUGUAAAUAACCUUUCAUAUCCCUUUACAAAGUGAUUGCUGAGUGGGCUGGAGGAGAAGGUAUUCUGUAAUGUAAUAAUUCCUGUCCUUUCUCUUUAUUUUCCUGCUUGGUCAU